GGGAGUUGUAGCACACUGGCGACACUGUCUGCAAGUGCAAGACCACACAACUAACCAAUGUCAACAUUGCUAGUGGUGCUACUGUGCUAGUGCUAGUCUAUAUAAGUAUAUAUGGUUGUUUAAUGUUUACAACUAAUUCAAAAUGAGCUCUGAGUCCUCUGACGAAGUCGAGGAAGUUUCGUCAAGCCAGGGCCAGGCUAAGCGAAAGAAAACUCAAGACAGUAAGUCAUCCUAAAAAAAACCAAGACAGUUUAAUCCAGAUUGGCUAAAUGAGAAUAAGCAUCCAAAAUUUGCUAAGUGGCUAAUACUGAAACUCAAUCCACAGACUGGAGAGAAUCAAGUAUUUUGUAGAGCUUGUGCGUUGUUUUAUCAAAAUCAUAAGGGAGAUUUAGAAAAACAUGUUGACCGUACCCAACACAAACAGAAUAUGGAAAAGUUCCCAGAGUUGCUUAAGCAACACGAUCGUUUAGCCAAUUUUGCAUCUCCACUUAGGGAUCGUAUCACUAAUCUUGAAGUACGAAUUUUGGCUCAUAUAUGUGAAAAUAGUCAAUCAGUGUGUUCUGCUCAAGGAAUGCUUGAAGUGAUGCCGACAGAAGGAAAUGAUCCCAUAUUCAAGAAAGCCACAUUAGGAUAUACAAAAGCAGGCAACUUGAUAAGAGAAGGAUUUGGAAAAUUUUGUACACAACAAACAGCAAGUAAACUGAAGAACAAAUAUUUUUCCAUUAUAUUCGAUGAAACCACGGACGUGUCUAUCAAAACUAAAAUGGUUAUUGUAGUUUGCCAGUGGUGCCUUGAAAAAGGAAAGCUGCAAUUCGAUGUUCUCGAUCUAGUGGAUGUUUCUGAUGGGACUGCAGAUGGAUUGACUAACUGUAUUCUUUCAAGGCUGGAAAAACACGGAAUUUCUUCCGCACGAUUUGUUGGGUUUUCAGCUGAUACAUGCAAUGUGAAUUUUGGAAGAAUCAAAUCAGUCUCAACAUUGCUGAGAGACCGUUUCCCCAAGCUCGCAACAGUCAAAUGUACUUGUCACAACUUUCAUUUAUGUGCAAAGCACUCCUAUUAGGCCUUGCCUCCAGAACUUAUUGAACUUCUACAUGCUAUUCCUGCCCACUUCAGCAAUAGUCGUGACAGGCGAGAUAAAUUAAAGGAGUGUCUUAGAUUUCUCAAACUUGAUGAGUUGGAAAUUCUCAAGCCCGGAGAAACGCGUUGGCUCACUUUUAAAAACCGCGCUGUCCGCAUUCUCCAACAAUAUGACGCUUUAAUUUUACAUUUCAUUUCUGAGGUUGCUGAAAACCCCACAGAAAAAUACAACAGAAUUUUGUUUCUUUUGCAAGAUCCUUUUACUAAAAUUCUUCUUGAGUUUUUCAUACAAGGACUUUCUCUUUUUACUGAACUGAAUGAAUUAUUCCAGUCCAACAAGCCUCUCAUUCAUGUGAUAAAACCUGCGAUUGAGUCUCUACUCGUUUCAUUGGCUAAGAGCUAUAUGAACACGGAAUACGUUGAAGAACACAUGUCUUGUCUGUCCAGUCUUGAUCAUUUAGACUGCCAUGAGUAUGUCCCUUUGGAACAAAUCUA
rnacentral:lncRNA from 1 species